UAAGUCGCUGGUCAUAGACGCGAAACCUAGUGAUCUAGGCCUGUCCAGGCUGAAGCUGAGGUAAGACUCAGUGGAGGGCCGAACUCACCGCCGUUGAAAAGUUGGGAGAUGAGAUAGGUCUAGGGGUGAAAAGCCAAUCGAACUAGGAGAUAGCUCGUUCUCUCCGAAAUGCAUUUAGGUGCAGCCUUGACGUCAAGAUAUGUGGGGGUAGAGCUCUGUAUGGUCUAGGGGGCGUACUGCUUACCGAAAUCAAGCAAACUGCGAAUACCGCAUAUUAAUAGCCAGGAGUGAGUCCGUGGAUGACAAGGUCCGCGGACGAGAGGGGAACAGCCCAGACCGCCAGCUAAGGUCCCUAAUUAUGUCUAAGUGGGAAAGGAGGUGGAUAUUCACAGACAACCAGGAGGUUGGCUUAGAAGCAGCCAUGCCUUGAAAGAGUGCGUAAUAGCUCACUGGUCGAGAGUAUCUGCGCCGAAGAUGUAACGGGGCUGAAGACAUAAACCGAAGCUGUGGAAGCGGCCAUGCCGCUUGGUAGGAGAGCGUUCUGUAGGUCUGAGAAGGCUGGCCGGAAGGCCUGCUGGAGACAUCAGAAGCGAGAAUGCAGGAAUGAGUAGCGAGAAGGAGGGCGAGAAUCCCUCCGGCCGGAAGUCCAAGGUUUCCGGGGGAAGGUUUGUCCGCCCCGGGGAAGUCGGGACCUAAGCGUAAGCAGAGAUGUGAUUGCGAAUGGGAAACAGGUUAAUAUUCCUGUACCGCUGUCAGUCGCCUGAGUGACGGAGUGACGCAGCAAGGUAUGUGAGAAGGCUGACGGAAUAGCCUUUCUAAAGGCGUAGCCUGGGCACGCAGGCAAAUCCGCGUGCCUAAAGGUGAGACCCUAUGGGCAAGUGCUUCUGCACAAGUCACAGAUCCUACACUGCCAAGAAAAACUUCUAGCAAGACUGGACAGCGCCCGUACCCUAAACCGACACAGGUGGACAGAGUGAGAAACUUAAGGCCGACAGGAUAACUCUAGCUAAGGAACUCUGCAAAAUAGCCCCGUAACUUCGGGAGAAGGGGUGCCUGACAUACCUGAGGGGAGAAGCGCCUCAAGGGGAAACAGGCCGCAGUGAAGAGUCUCAAGCAACUGUUUACCAAAAACACAGGUCUAUGCUAAGCUGGAAGGCGACGUAUAUGGGCUGACACCUGCCCAGUGCCGGAAGGUUAAGAGGAGGAGUGAGAGCUCCGAUUUGAAGCCCCGGUGAACGGCGGCCGUAACUAUAACGGUCCUAAGGUAGCGAAAUUCCUUGUCGGGUAAG
rnacentral:rRNA from 1 species